UUGAAAGGGAAACGAUUGAAGUCAGUCGUACCUUCGGGUAAUCAGCCUUUCGGGUGCGAUUCUGUGGGGUUUGAAGAGCUUAACACCUUCAUGCUUUGCAUAUUCGUGCUCUUGGGUGUACUUGCCCGUGUGGUUGGUUAACAUCAAUUUCGGGCACCAUAAAAUGGCUGGAGGAAUGUAGCUUCGAUCUCGUAUUGAAGUGUUAUAGCCUUUGGUAGAUGUGAUGUUUGAGACCGAGGAUUGCAACGGAUACCCUUCAGGGCUAUUCGUCUGAUCUCUGAUACGUUGCCUUGAUGUUGAAAGCUUGCUUAUGAUGUUAAGGUAUUACGGUCAAAAGGUUAGAACGUGAUUACAUUCGUUAAGGAUGUUGACGUA
rnacentral:rRNA from 1 species